CAGCUCAACUCCAAGCGCAAAUGCUGCUCUCAACUGUGGCUUCCAGUGUUGUUGGGUGUUUCAUUACACGUUCAUCAAGAGUCAGAGGCAUCCCUGAUCCUUCCUUCUUCGCCACCUCCACCAAGAUGGCUUUGGAGCAAUUUACGUUCGGCCCUUACAAGAUUGACAGCAGGGAAGUGUUUUACUCUACUCAUCUAUCCUAUGCCCUGGUCAACUUGCGUCCUGUUGUUCCUGACUUAACAUCAUGUACAUGUGCUUGUCUGCCCAAGGCGUGAAGUGAAGCGCUUUGUUGAUCUCACUACUGAUGAGACCAGUGAUCUUUGGAUCGCAGCGCAAAAGGUUGGUAGUCGGCUUGAGACCUACCACAAAGCAUCGUCUCUCACACUUACAAUUCAAGAUGGACCCCAAGCUGGACAGACUGUGCCCCAUGUUCAUAUCCACAUCAUCCCACGGAAAGGUGGCGACUUUGAGGAGAAUGAUGAAAUUUACGAUGCACUAGAUGAAAAGGAGAAGGAAUUAAAGCAAAAGCUUGAUUUAGACAAGGACAGGAAGGACAGAAGCCUUGACGAAAUGGCACAAGAAGCUGAAGAAUACAGAAAGUUGUUCUUGUAGAAUGUGGAUGUUCCUACUUGCAGCGCAAUAUGUAAUUUAUUUCUCACUGGAUAUUUUCAACCUAGUUUAGUUAUGGUUUGCGCAUUGGAUGGUUUGCUAUGGUUUUAGCUGGAUUAGAGUCCAAGCAUCAUAGUUUAGUUGUGUUAACUUAAAAUCGUAUAUUAUCAUUGAUUGCUAGAGAAAUUAUGUUUUCUUUAUCA